CGCUGCGGCGUGCUUAACACAUGCAAGUCGAGCGGAAAGGCCACUUCGGUGGUACUCGAGCGGCGAACGGGUGAGUAACACGUGAGUAAUCUGCCCCUGGCUUUGGGAUAGCCACCGGAAACGGUGAUUAAUACCGGAUACGACAACUUCUCGCAUGGGAUGGUUGUGGAAAGUUUUUCGGCCAGGGAUGUGCUCGCGGCCUAUCAGCUUGAUGGUGAGGUAAUGGCUCACCAUGGCUUCGACGGGUAGCCGGCCUGAGAGGGUGACCGGCCACACUGGGACUGAGACACGGGCCAGACUCCUACGGGAGGCAGCAGUGGGGGAAUAUUGGACAAUGGGCGGAAGCCUGAUUCAGCAACCGCCGCGUGAGGGAUGACGGCCUUCGGGUUGUNAACCUCUUUCAGCAGGGACGAAACGCAAGUGACGGUCCUGCAGAAGAAGCACCGGCCAACUACGUGCCAG
rnacentral:rRNA from 1 species